rnacentral:rRNA from 1 species
UACGGAGGGUGCAAGCGUUAUCCGGAUUUACUGGGUUUAAAGGGUGCGUAGGUGGAGUGGUAAGUCAGUGGUGAAAUCUCCGGGCUUAACUCGGAAACUGCCGUUGAUACUAUCAUUCUUGAAUAUUGUGGAGGUAAGCGGAAUAUGUCAUGUAGCGGUGAAAUGCUUAGAUAUGACAUAGAACACCAAUAGCGAAGGCAGCUUGCUACACAAUUAUUGACACUGAGGCUCGAAAGCGUGGGGAUCAAACAGG